GGCUCGGUGGCGGGUGGUCCGCAUCUGCGCUGUGUUGCCAAGGACAGAGCAAAAUGAGUUCAAGCAGAAGUCGCUCGUUCGAAUCGAGCCCGAGCCA